rnacentral:lncRNA from 1 species
GUGCGAAGUACUCGUAAAACCCCCCGAAAACCUCAACAAAAAUAAUAAUAAAAUUGAUGAAAGCAAAGUGAAAGAGGGGCAUAAACGGAUGCCCCAAAAUUAAUUCAGUUGCCACCCACUUGGCGGCGCUACACAAAAAUUUUGUUUUCUUUUCCAUUUGCCGGGGGGGAAAACUAUUUUUUCUUCACUUUUAUGAUUUAUGCCAAUAUUCCAGCCCAGCCCAGCUCGGCCCUUUGGAGUGCCUUUGAAGUGGCUUUCCCCCUUUGUUUUCCAACACUCAAACGAUGUGCUAAUUUGGCAAAAUAUUAAAGCAACAAUUAAAUAUCCAUUCCAGUGUCAAUUGCAGCACAUUUGUUGGCCUUUUUCCUUUUCCCUUCGGAUGCAGCUGCAGGAAAUUUUUUCGAAACUCAUGACACAACGUUGAAAGGGUUAAUGGGGGCGGCUGUGUUGCAUUUCGUUGCAUAAUCGAUCAUUAUGAGGUGGCACCUAUCGAUUAAUGAGCUUUUUUAGUUUGCCUUGAGAGUUUUUAGCUCGAUGUUUAUUUUGUUUUGGUUAUUUUUGGAGUUUUAAAAGGGAAAAUAUAUUUUCAGUGAG